rnacentral:rRNA from 1 species
GACGAACGCUGGCGGCGUGCCUAAUACAUGCAAGUAGAACGCACAGUUUAUACCGUAGCUUGCUACACCAUAGACUGUGAGUUGCGAACGGGUGAGUAACGCGUAGGUAACCUGCCUGGUAGCGGGGGAUAACUAUUGGAAAUGAUAGCUAAUACCGCAUAAUAUUAAUUAUUGCAUGAUAAUUAAUUGAAAGGUGCAAUUGCACCACUACCAGAUGGACCUGCGUUGUAUUAGCUAGUAGGUGAGGUAACGGCUCACCUAGGCGACGAUACAUAGCCGACCUGAGAGGGUGAUCGGCCACACUGGGACUGAGACACGGCCCAGACUCCUACGGGAGGCAGCAGUAGGGAAUCUUCGGCAAUGGACGAAAGUCUGACCGAGCAACGCCGCGUGAGUGAAGAAGGUUUUCGGAUCGUAAAGCUCUGUUGUAAGAGAAGAACGGGUGUGAGAGUGGAAAGUUCACACUGUGACGGUAUCUUACCAGAAAGGGACGGCUAACUACGUG